rnacentral:rRNA from 1 species
CCUACGGGAGGCUGCAGUGGGGAAUAUUGGACAAUGGGGGGAACCCUGAUCCAGCGACGCCGCGUGAGUGAAGAAGUAUUUCGGUAUGUAAAGCUCUAUCAGCAGGGAAGCAAGAACUGACGGUACCUGACUAAGAAGCCCCGGCUAACUACGUGCAAGCAGCCGCGGUAAUACGGAGGGGGCAAGCGUUAUCCGGAUUUACUGGGUGUAAAGGGAGCGUAGACGGGGAUACAAGUCUGAAGUGAAAGGCGGGGGCCCAACCCCCGGACUGCUUUGGAAACUGGAUGGCUGGAGUGCAGGAGAGGUAAGUGGAAUGCCUAGUGUAGCGGUGAAAUGCGUAGAUAUUAGGAGGAACACCAGUGGCGAAGGCGGCGUACUGGACUGUAACUGACGUUGAGGCUCGAAAGCGUGGGGAGCAAACAGGAUUAGAUACCCCAGUAGUC